rnacentral:rRNA from 1 species
GAUGAACGCUGGCGGCGUGCUUAACACAUGCAAGUCGAGCGAAGCGCUUUGGUUAGAUUCUUCGGAUGAAGACCUUUGUGACUGAGCGGCGGACGGGUGAGUAACGCGUGGGUAACCUGCCUCAUACAGGGGGAUAACAGUUAGAAAUGACUGCUAAUACCGCAUAAGACCACGGAGUCGCAUGACUCAGUGGGAAAAACUCCGGUGGUAUGAGAUGGACCCGCGUCUGAUUAGCUGGUUGGUGGGGUAACGGCCUACCAAGGCGACGAUCAGUAGCCGGCCUGAGAGGGCGACCGGCCACAUUGGGACUGAGACACGGGCCCAAAACUCCUACGGGAGG